ensembl:misc_RNA
UUAUCUAUCCUGGAGAGUGAAGCCCUCCAAACUCGUAUGCAGAACAGGUACAACACAGGCAGCAGCAAUGCAAGCUUCCACACACAGCUCCUGCCAGUGUGCCUCAACCUUGUUUUGCAGGGGCCACCUCUAGAGGUAAGCGGGUGACUGAGUAUUUAUCACUUUCCAUUCUUAUCUUCAGUAUUGAGGCUGCU